AGGACUCAGAGAGACGAGGAGUGAAGCUUCGCUUUUGUGCCUGGUUCAACUCGUGUUUGAGCACACAAACACAUCUUUUCAGCACUUUCUCAGACAGUUCAGGAGACAGACUUUGAGAAUGAAGAGGAGCCAACUAACCACACUGACCCAAUAGGACCUCCAGACAUUUCCACAUCAAGAGCUGGUGGUCCAGUCCAGCCACA